CAGCCCUAGCUGAGAUAAUCUCUUCUUCUUCUUCCCAAGAGUGAACUUUUCCCUCUCCCCUGUGAUCUUUGGAGCUUUGUUGGCUGUUGGAAAGUAGAAGGAAAAUCAGAGAACAGAUAUCAGAAUUGUGGCAGGUGGGCCAUAUCAUCCUGGUAAAAAUACAACUCGAAGAAUCUGAAUAUAACUUAGCAAAAAAAAGAAUCUGAAUAUAAAAUGUCCCGAAGCUGAUCUGGGGCUGAAGCCAAAUUCUCCCAGAUGGUGUCCACUAUUGUGUGAUUCUUUCACCGUUCAAUCAAAUGAAAUAACAUUUGAUUCAAACAUCCACACCAGCUAAAAAGUUUUGUUUUUUUAUUUGAUUAAUGACAAACAGUUAUUUUUCAUUAUUUUAUAUCAUAAAAGCAUAUAAAAGAAAUUGUAACAGCUAUUAUCUUACUCCAAAGAAUCCUGGGAAAGGGCUCAAAUUGGCAAACAAAUGACAUUGUUUUUGUCAUAAUGGUAAGUAAAACCCAACACACUCACACUCCUGCUUGACGUUCCAAUUUGUUUCUUUUUUGAAUAUUGACUGAAAUCUUUCUGGUCAGGCUAUCGGCAAGCCCUCCCAUCUCCUUCCUUUUGAACUGCACAUUUGAAGUGCACAUCAGCUGGCUCUGACCGAUUCAAGGAAAAGCAGAAGCCAAAAAACAGAUAUUCCCCUCAUGGAUUACCUUGCAACUUGCUCAGAUGUCACGAAUAUUCCAUUAACUAUUGCUUAACUCUAAGAUUUGUAGGAACCAGGCAUCAUUAAUAACUAAUAAACAUUUUUCCAGGAAGCAUGAUGUCAUACGGAACUCCACUGGCGGAUCAAACUUUCAUAGACU